GAAAAAAGAAAAAAGAAAAAAGAAAAAAGCUGAGAAAUAAACGCGUUUGUAAUAUUCACGAAGUUGAGGGAGGGUUAGUUGGGUGUGGAUGAGCUCCUUUUUCUUCGGUGGGUGUCGAGAAAGAGCAGAAUAGAUAAUAGAAAGAAACGAGAGAGAGAGAGAGAGAGAGAGAGAGAGAGAGAGUUUUGAGUUUGAGGUCACUCGCUCACUCCCAACGAUGACUGAUCAUUAACGCCUUUUUCUUCUUCAGUUAUCCCAAACAAGCCUUCUUCUUUCUCUAUCCUCUGUUCUCUACCACCAAAUACAAACACAAACACAAACACAAACACAAAACCCUAUCACCACACACUUCACUUUCUUCGAUCUCUAGAUCUAACCUUGUUGCAUCACACAACUAUUCUUCUGUUCCCUCUGCAACUUAGUACUGCUCUUACCAAUAACCCUGUGCUCUUCUAUUAUUUAUUGAUUCACUUGUUUUGUUAUUUUUAUUUUUAUUUCCAGGUGUUUUUUAUUCUCGAAUUUUAAUGUUUGAACUUUGAAAUUGAUUGGUGACAAUAGCACAGAAACGUGACGUGGUAUAUGCAUAGGUCUAGUAGUAUUUGUGUAGAGGUGAAAAAGGGUUUGUGUGAAUUUGUGGGGCAGUUGGAGCAUCCAUUUGUGGAUGUGAAGGAAUUGGUGGUUGUUUUGGGGUGAAAUGAGGGAUGCUAUCAAGGUUGAUGGACUUUCUGACUGCCUGCUGGCGCCGAAGAUCCUCCGACAAGGGUUCCGAUGUGUCGGGGCGGAAGGAGGGGUUGCUGUGGUACAAGGAUGCCGGGCAGCACUUGUUUGGUGAAUACUCAAUGGCUGUUGUUCAGGCCAACAACUUGCUUGAGGAUCAGAGCCAGCUUGAGUCUGGUCCUCUUAGCUUGCUUGAUACUGGUCCUUAUGGUACUUUUGUUGGCGUGUAUGAUGGUCACGGCGGACCCGAGACGUCGCGUUACAUUUGUGAUAAUCUCUUCCAACAUUUAAAACGAUUUGCAUCUGAGCAGAAGUCCAUGUCUGUGGAGGUUAUUCGAAAGGCGUACCAAGCCACGGAAGAAGGUUUUCUGUCAUUGGUUACUAAACAGUGGCCUAUGAAUCCCCAAAUUGCUGCUGUGGGAUCUUGUUGUUUGGUUGGUGUGAUUUGUGGUGGUGCCCUAUAUAUUGCUAACCUUGGUGAUUCUCGUGCUGUGCUUGGGCGGGUUGUCAGAGCAACUGGGGAUGUUUUGGCAAUCCAGCUUUCAUCGGAGCAUAAUGUGGGCAUAGAAUCUGUGAGACAAGAGAUGCAUUCUUUGCAUCCAGAUGACUCGAAAAUUGUGGUUCUAAAGCACAACGUUUGGCGGGUAAAGGGUCUGAUACAGGUUUCUAGAUCCAUUGGUGAUGUAUACCUAAAAAAGGCAGAAUUCAACAAGGAACCAUUGUAUGCCAAGUUUCGUCUUCGGGAAACUUUUAAAAGACCCAUUUUGAGCUCUGAUCCAUCAAUUUCCAUUCAUGAGCUUCAAGAACAUGAUCAAUUUCUCAUAUUUGCCUCUGAUGGUCUUUGGGAACACCUUAGCAAUCAGAAUGCUGUUGAUAUAGUUCAAAAUCACCCGCACAAUGGAAUUGCUAGGAGGCUCAUCAAAGCUGCUUUGCAGGAAGCAGCAAAAAAGAGAGAGAUGAGGUACUCUGAUUUGAAGAAAAUCGAUCGCGGUGUCCGCCGGCAUUUCCAUGAUGACAUCACUGUCGUAGUUGUAUUUCUUGACUCCAAUCUUGUCAGCAGAGCCAGCUCUGUAAGAGGUCCUCCAUUAUCAGUGAGAGGAGGCGGUGUUCCCCUACCUUCAAGAACUUUAGCUCCUGAACUUAGUUCAGGUUGAUGAACCUGGCUGUAUGAUCUGUUACUUUUGUAUCUAGUGUUGUACCCUUAGCAGACAUUGAGCUCUGGUGACCCAUCAGAAUGUAUAUCCAAUUUAACAAAGAUUCAGAAAACAGUUGGUCAAGUAAUACAAUGUAACAAGUAACUUGGGGUAUGUAGCUUGUCUGAGUAAAUCAUCAUGGAAAAAGAGCACCAAAGCCAAAGGUGACCUUGAAUAUUUGAUCAUUAAGAGGCAAUUAUGUUUGCAUUUCUUGUUUUUCUCAUCCAACGUGGAGUGAUUUCUUGUUCCUGAUCUCUGUUCAAGUUUAACCAUAGCUCUGUGUUCCUGAUAUAGUUUUGUUCGGGUCCCUUUGCUCAUUGUGUUUCCAGCUCACCUUUCGAAGUCUUACUUUGCUUAAGAAAUGGAAUGACCCUUCUCCUGAGGAGGCAAUACAGUAAGGUCACUGCCAUUGCUGUUAAAAUGCCAGCAAUAAAUUCCAGCAACAUAUUAUGUGCAGAUCCACUCUUAUUUUUCAAAGAUGAUUGUGCUGCUGCAGGUGGUGAAGCCUGUAACCUUCAAAAUUUGCAACCUUAAGUAUGAAUAUGAUUUUCUUCUUUCCAAAACUACAGAUUUUGACAUCGCAUUUGCUAGCUUUAAUUUACGUAGUAGAUAGUUGCAUCAUGUUUUUUUAAAGGGCAUUCUCAGUUUCGUUUACUUGGUCAUGUCUUAGGACGGCAUAUAAGCCAAGAAAUUCUCGUUAUGUAGUGGUGAGAGGAAUAAUUUAUCACAAAAUAUCCACUAUUAACACCAACAAACAGUGAACAAAACAAACGAUAAGUUAUUAUUGGCUAAAAUAUUGACUAUAACAGCUUUUAAUUCAUAUUAAGAUGCAGCGUGGAAGCAGAAUUCGAGAGUAAUGUAGUGCUAUUGAGGAAAUAAUAUUCAUUCUCACUUGUCUUUGACAUGCUUAAAAGAUUAAAUAGGCAUGCCGGAUAGCCUUCUAGAUAAGUGUGCCAAGUAAUUUAUAGGACUGACCAGGUAAAGUUUGUUUGAUUAGCCAUUUGAUAAUGUCCUUAAGUGUUUGGUUUGGCCUGCAUAUUUCGCUUUAUUUGUUAACUUAACUAAUGUAAUUAAACAUUUUGAUUUAUAUUAAAAUGACAAAAAAGUAAUUUU